UGGGGACUUAGCUUAGUUGGUAGAGCGCCUGCUUUGCACGCAGGAGGUCAGGAGUUCGACUCUCCUAGUCUCCACCAC
rnacentral:tRNA from 1 species